GACGAACGCUGGCGGCGUGCUUAACACAUGCAAGUCGAACGGUGAAGCGCUUGCCUUUUUGGUGGGUGUGGAUGAGUGGCGAACGGGUGAGUAACACGUGAGUAACCUGCCCUCUUCUUCUGGAUAACCUCAUGAAAGUGGGGCUAAUACGGGGUAUUCCGGGUCUGUCGCAUGGCGGGUUUGGGAAAGAUUGCGCCUUUGGGUGUUUUCGGUGGGGGAUGGGCUCGCGGCCUAUCAGCUUGUUGGUGGGGUGAUGGCCUACCAAGGCGGUGACGGGUAGCCGGCCUGAGAGGGUGGACGGCCACACUGGGACUGAGACACGGCCCAGACUCCUGCGGGAGGCAGCAGUGGGGAAUAUUGCACAAUGGGCGCAAGCCUGAUGCAGCGACGCCGCGUGAGGGAUGGAGGCCUUCGGGUUGUGAACCUCUUUCGCCAGGGAAGCAGGCCUGCUCCUGUGUGGGUGGGUUGACGGUAGCUGGAGAAGAAGCGCCGGCUAACUACGUG
rnacentral:rRNA from 1 species